rnacentral:rRNA from 1 species
UACAGAGGGUGCGAACGUUGUUCGGAAUUACUGGGCGUAAAGCGCGUGUAGGCUGUUCGGAAAGUCGGGUGUGAAAGCCCUGGGCUCAACCUAGGAAGUGCACUCGAAACUCCCGAACUGGAGUCCCGGAGAGGAAGGCGGAAUUCUCGGUGUAGAGGUGAAAUUCGUAGAUAUCGAGAGGAACAUCGGUGGCGAAGGCGGCCUUCUGGACGGUGACUGACGCUGAGACGCGAAAGCGUGGGGAGCAAACAGG